UUUCAUUGGAUAUUUCAAAUGCUUUAGGAAUAAGUCAUAAUUAAUGCUGAGUGAGUCGUGGCAUCGAGGCCAGAUGUACUGCCAUGAUUUAAUUAUCUGCAGCCAGAGGAGUACUCUGUGGCUGUUCUGUGUUGCAGCAGAGACCUUGUGGACAACAGACUGCACUGGGACUCAGAAUGUGUCUGAUGCCUGGAGCCAGGACUUUCCUCCUCUGUCGCUCCUGUUCUAUCACACUGCCAGGCUUUUGCUGGAUGUUGGCAGCCUGCCACUUGCCCAAGUGUUGUGCCACAACCAGAGGGAUCUUUGGUCAACGCUUGGAAGACACAGUCCAGUAUGAAAAGAAGUACGGGAAGCACCUGGCUCCACUUCUGGUGGAGCAAUGUGUGGAUUUUAUCCGGGAGCAUGGCCUCACUGAGGAAGGGCUCUUCCGCAUGCCUGGGCAAGCCAAUUUGGUGAAAGACCUACAGGACUCCUUUGACUGUGGGGAAAAGCCUCUGUUUGACAGCAAUACUGAUAUUCACACGGUAGCCUCCCCUCUGAAACUUUAUCUCCGAGAGCUUCCAGAACCUGUCAUUCCUUUUGCCAGAUACAAAGAUUUCCUCUCCUGUGGGCAACUGCUCUCCAAGGACAAAGGAGAGGAGAAGAGGCUGCAAUCCAAGCAGAAAAGUGACACAAAUGGAGCAAGAUCCUGCAAUUUGGGGACAUAGCAUCUCCUUCCUCAGCAGCAGCAUUCAGUGUCUGCCUUACAAAUGUUAAAGGCACAAGAAUCCAGCUGGGAAUCCUACAGAUGCCACAUCACAUUCCCAGCCUUCCCAUAUGCUUAAUUUCUUAAUGUAAAGGAGUAUUUUAAAGACCCUGAUAACACCACCAUAGACUACUUCAGUUUGGAAUCAAAACUCAGUCUUAACUAUGAGAUUUACUGGGUAAUGGGUACUGCAUGAAGUUUCACUGGGUUAAACUGAGUUUACAACCAAGUAAAUGUGCAGCAGAGAGUCAAAAGAUAACAAAAGGCACAAUUCACAACCAUCAUGACAGGGGAUUAGAGAAAUUGUAAAUUAUCAAUACCUCGGCACAGUCGUUAACCAAAAUGGAGACAAUAGACAAGAAAUCAGAAGAAGGCUAGGACUGGGGAGGGCAGCUAUGAGAGAACUAGAAAAGUCCACAGAAUGCAAAGGGAACUCAGGAACUGGCAAAUCACGUGAAAUGUCUUCCACAGGCCAACUACAAUCUCCUCAAGUACGUUUGCAA